rnacentral:lncRNA from 1 species
CUUAAGAGGUUUACUAACACUGUCAAGUUACAUACCAGCAAGUGGUGGAGAUAGGAUUUGAACUGAAGUCUGUCUGGGUUUAUUUACAAAUGUAAUACCCAAAUAAGCACAUGUAUAAUACAUUGCUACCUUGAGAUUCCUCAUUAAUAGUUUCAGGGAGGCGUGACGAGUACCAAAAAUGAGGAGUACCAAACAAAUUGUCUUGGCCGGAAAGAGUAGCAAGCCAUGAGGCAGUGCAUGCUGACAAGUUCUAUUUGUAUAUUGAGCAUCAAACAAGCUGAGUACUGGAACAAAAUUUGUGCUGAGUACCAAAUUCGGAGUUUCAAAGCAGGGCAGAAAACACAAUACCUUCGAAUGGCUGUUGAAGGGGGAGAAAGACUGCAAGUCACAUCAUGGAACCCCUCCCCAUCUUUCAGCUCUGUGUCUCCUUCCCCCGUGCAAGCUCUAGAGGAAGAUUCUCACAAGACCAUCGAAAUGAAAAACACCAGCCUAUUUUCCAUGCAUGGAGGGAUGUCGACGCAUCCAGAAUCAGCUAUGUUGCAACCUGUUUGUCUGGAAUCUUAUAUCUAAAUUAUGUUUCUCAAAAUUUAAUAAAUGAGGUUUAAUAGAAGGCACUCAAGUGGCACUGAUGAAAUCUGUUGUGGAAAAUACUACAAUUUCAUUGUUUUUAUAUAACCUCCUUGGAACCCGCUUCUUAUUAUUUCCAC